CACAGUCUGUCGCCCCUAUUGGCUUGUGUGCACACUGGUGGUUGCAAUUGCUGGGUCAGUUCUGUCUCCAGCCUUGUCCUCUAUGCAAACCAAUGGACGUUGCAGCCCAACCAGGUCUCACUCACCACACACUUGACCACCACCCUGUGUCACCUGAUGUCAUGAUGAGCACUGUUGCCUUCUGAAAUCUCUCCUGGAAUUAUGUUGUGACCACAGCAACUCAUGUAAUUAGCGUACUUCUGAGACUCUUCAACUACUGCCUGAUAAAGGUAAUUCCUACCUGGGGAGGCAGCAGUGAUUGCUCAAGUGGCUGGAUUUCUGCUAUUCACUUUGGAGAUCUGGAUUGAGUUCCUGGCUUGAAGUUGGCUCAGUUUUGGUUGUUGCAGAUUAGUGGAGAGCAAACAGAGGAUGGAGGAUUUUCUUG